AAGACGAAGAAGAAGAAGAAGAAAGGCAGGGUGUGAAACAAGAACGUCGUGGUCGCUCUUAAAUCUUCUUCUCCGUCUGAUUUUCUUUCGACAUCGAGUUUGCUGCUACUUAAGUGAUGGCUGGGCAGGUUGAAAUUUAUGACAUUGCUUGGCAUAUCAACUCCAAGCUAUCUAAGACAAGGUGAGUCCGAAUAAAAUUUGGGAAAACUCAACCUCAAUCUUCCUCUUCCUCGUUGCCAACGGAUCACACAAUAAAACUCAGAUGUUGUGACGGGUAGCGCCAUUUGUAUUCCAUCGUGCAAUUGACAAACGAAGCAGUGCCAUUUGCAUUCCAAUCAUUUAGUUUGAUACUUUUAAUCUGUUUUCUGUGAUCCUCUCCCAUUGUUUACGCGUUUCUAUUUUUUGAUAAUUUGGGUACGCUGAUAUGAAUGUGAUGGAUUGACAAUUAGGUA